GAUGAACGCUGGCGGCGUGCCUAACACAUGCAAGUCGAGCGAUUUACUUCGGUAAAGAGCGGCGGACGGGUGAGUAACGCGUGGGUAACCUGCCCUGUACACACGGAUAACAUACCGAAAGGUAUGCUAAUACGAGAUAAUAUGCUUUUAUCGCAUGGUAGAAGUAUCAAAGCUCCGGCGGUACAGGAUGGACCCGCGUCUGAUUAGCUAGUUGGUAAGGUAACGGCUUACCAAGGCGACGAUCAGUAGCCGACCUGAGAGGGUGAGCGGCCACAUUGGAACUGAGACACGGUCCAAACUCCUACGGGAGGCAGCAGUGGGGAAUAUUGCACAAUGGGCGAAAGUCUGAUGCAGCAACGCCGCGUGAGCGAUGAAGGCCUUCGGGUCGUAAAGCUCUGUCCUCAAGGAAGAUAAUGACGGUACUUGAGGAGGAAGCCCCGGCUAACUACGUGCCAGCCGCCGCCGUAA
rnacentral:rRNA from 1 species